rnacentral:misc_RNA from 1 species
AGAGAACUCCCAGAAACCAAUAUAACUAAAAUAAAAUCCUCAAGUGCACACAAUGUGAACAUAACAAUUAGAUAAUCAACAAGGAUGAAGACCAUAUUUCUACUAAUAAAGUAAAUCUCAUAAUUUAACUAAAAAGGGUUCCUUAAUUUUUUUAUUUUUCUCAACUUUGGUUUCACUACUUUUGUCACACCCCAAUCAAUUGUUCCUCACUCUCUCAUCAAAACACCAAGCGGAACUGAGGAGCAUCGGCAUCACAAGCAGGAAGGUUUUCCCAAUGGCAAGGCUCGAGCUCGUCUGACACAGGGCAGUAUCCCACCAGAGUAACCUAAUCGGUCGAAGCAGUGACGGAGCCAAACUCGAAAAUGGUGACAUUCUUGGCGAGUCUGGGCACUUGUAUAGUGUCGUUCAUGCCAGGAACCUCGAAAGAUGAGAAUUCGAGUUUGGAGGUCGGUGUGGAUUUGGAUUUAGGCUUGGGGCAACCUUUGAACUAGGAGAGGAGACCCACCAAAUUUGGGGAUUUUAUUUUUGUCCAAUGAAUUUUCAGAUUAGGGUUUUGGUGUCAAAG